GAGGACCGUAUUCAUGGAAGAGGAUUGAACAGACUACUGAGUUCUUAAGAGAAAAAUGGCACUUAAGAAAUUGAUGGUGAUAUCAAAGGAAGGUUACUUAUUACUCUUGGACUUUGAUGAUGAGGACGAUGACAUAAAAGUUUCAGAGGAGGCUCUUGCGGAAGUAAAGAGCCCAGGAUUUGAUAAAAAUGAGAAUAUAUCGCCUCAAGCAGAAGCAGAUGAAUAUAUGGGAGAUGAAGUAGACAGUAUGUUGGAUAAAUCUGGAGCUGCAUCAUUGGACUGAAAGUGAAUGGCCCAUGUGUUGCCACUGAUGUGAGCCAUUUGCCUGUUGUGCUUCA
rnacentral:precursor_RNA from 1 species